GCUAAUACCGCAUAUGUCUUACGGGACAAAGCAGGGGACCUUCGGGCCUUGCGUUAUUGGAUGAGCCUAUGUUGGAUUAGUUAGUUGGUAGAGUAAAAGCCUACCAAGGCGACGAUCCAUAGCUGGUCUGAGAGGAUGAUCAGCCACACUGGGACUGAGACACGGCCCAGACUCCUACGGGAGGCAGCAGUGGGGAAUAUUGCACAAUGGGCGCAAGCCUGAUGCAGCAAUGCCGCGUGUGUGAAGAAGGCCUGCGGGUUGUAAAGCACUUUUAUUAGGAAAGAAAAACCCGGAGUUAAUACCUCCGGCAUUGACGGUACCUAAAGAAUAAGCACCGGCUAACUCAGUGCCAGCAGCCGCGGUAAUACUGAGGGUGCAAGCGUUAAUCGGAAUUACUGGGCGUAAAGCGAGUGUAGGCGGCUACUUAAGUCGGAUGUGAAAUCCCCGGGCUCAACCUGGGAAUUGCAUUCGAUACUGGGUAGCUAGAGUUUGGUAGAGGUAAGUGGAAUUCCGGGUGUAGCGGUGAAAUGCGUAGAUAUCCGGAGGAACAUCAGUGGCGAAGGCGGCUUACUGGACCAA
rnacentral:rRNA from 1 species